AGGUCACAGGCAGACAGACAAAAACACACACAGUCUGCCCAUUAGUCCUGCACAAAAUGGCCACUGGACACAAUUCAUCAGCCACGGUGACCACGGAGGACAAGGAAGGACGGUCUUUCCAACUGUCUUCUCUACCCAACAAACCCUCUGGUGUAAGCGUUCAGCGCUGGGGACUGAACCUGAGUAUCACUCAAGUCAGGUGAUUCUGUUUCCUCUCAAACUGACAAUCAAUAUUAGCCCUCAUAAUGAAUGAUAAAAGAAAUGAUAAUGAUGCUGCUGGGCCUCGAAUUAAUGUUGAGAAAACAGAGAAGAUGAAGUUACGCCAGGUCCUAGAUUUCAAGGAUCUCACACUUUGCUACAGAAGACAGGAAAUAAACACACAGUUAUAAUUGUACACUGUAAAUACAAAGGGAGAGAACAGGAGUGUACUGUGCACUACAAAGAAUGGAGAAGCUUGGACAACUUUCAGAGAACAAGAGGGUGGUGGACCCUCAACAAUGGCACGUAGCCCUGAUGUGAAGAUGCCGCCCACAUUUUCCCAGGAAGCAUUGCUCUGAGGGAGCUCAACUGCAGAGGACUCCUCAAAAACAGUCGUAUACAGGCAGCUUUGCCCUGGACUUCUGCUUCUUCCGUGUUGGUGUCACUUCACUUCACUUUGAGUGGAUUACCAAUCCUACCUCUAGGGAUGUAGGUUCCCAGGUCCUUCCCCUAUGGUCUGGCAUCAUCAUCAUGCCAGCUUGGGAAGAAGACUGUGUACCCCUAAGACGUGCAGCCUUUCUUAGGAGCUAUUCUGAGUAUGUAUCGCCACAAAGCCUGCAAUCUACAUUCCAUUUCAUAACCAUAGACUCUGCUUCAGAAAAAAGAUAAACCUCUUCUAAGCAGAGUCAUUCAGAAGAAGUUUAUUGGAAGAUAUCACGGUGGCCCUGAUCUGAUACUGGGUAUCCUGAGUUCUAGAGUGGGUACAUGGAGCAGGUCCAGGGGUUGCCAGAAUUACCCAGACAGACGAAUCCACUCUUUGAAGCCAGUGCUGUCCUGUUCCACACAAGGAGAAACUCAUGCCAAUCCCUGCCCUGGCUCCACCCACUCCUGUUGAGCCUCAGCGCCUAGCAGCUGUCUGAGUGGGAAGACUAAGAUACUGUAAAACACAAAUUUUUCCAAACUUUAGAAGAUACUCCAAGGAAAAGACACAAAAGGCUAAAGUUUCAAGAGCAAAAGACCACUUCCUCUGACUCCUCUCUUAUUCAAGAGCUCUGUGCAGAGACAAGAGCACUGUGAAUUCCUGCUUUUCUCCCUUGCAGCUGAACUUGAAGAUGCGUGUGUUUGUGCAUAUAUAUGUUCCUGCAUGUAGGGGCCAGAGGUCAGUAUUGGGAAUAUUCCUCCAUUGCUUUCUACCUUCUUGUUUUUUGAGAAAGGGUCUCUAAAUGAACGUGGAGCUCAUGAACUCAUCAAGACCAGUAGGCCAAUGAGCUCCAGGGAUCUUAUGUCUCUGCCUCCCCAGAGCAAAGACUACAUGAGCAUAUCACCACACCGGCUUUUUCAUGUGGGUCUCAACCAUCCAAACACAGAUCUUCAUGAGUGAAUAAGAGCAUUUUACUGACAGAGCCAUCUUCCCAGAUCCUCAGAGUUUUGAAAAGGUCUUCCUACAAUGAAGUCUAACAUACAUGAGUUGGACAGCAAUUGACAUAAGAAUGUGACUUUUGGAAAAUAAAUUUUGACAUUUAAGAGGACACAAAUCUGUCCUAUUGAUGAGGUACAUACUCUGCUACAUUGCCAUCUAUGUUAAUAUGAUUUUUAUCUAUAUUCAACAGCAAUCUCAAACGACAAGCAUGACAUGGCGUAGCGGCAAUGGGCAUCCAAAGUAUAGAUCUCACUUUAUUUUUACCUUCACCUGACACACUUCGGCCAGGUAUUGACCACGGAGAAGCAUUCUUCUGGCCGUAAAUCCGAUCAAUAGCUCACUCAUGCAGAACAUACAAUGUACAUUUUCUGCUUAUAAAAAGCCAUGGAUAAUGAGCACCGAUUAUAGCUCAGAGAGACCAAAGACGUGAGUGCAUGUGCUGUUCCUUCUCAGAGGACUAACCUGAAAAUGAUCUUUGCCUUGCCUACAAAUGAAAUAUUUAAAACAUUGUUUUGAUGGCCCAAGGUAUGCCUGACAUAUUUGUCGAUUUUCGCAGAUGCGAGGAGUGAUUAGAUUUGGGGGUCAGUUACGAUAAGGUCAUCCAGAGACCACGCAUUUUAAUUUCAAAUUCAGGAUGACAAACCUGAUAAGCAAAACUUUAUAAAAUAAAAGGAUAUGAAAUCAACUUACAUGACUAGUUGGUAUGGGGAGAACUUUUGUAUUAGGUCCUGUCAUCUAAAGGGGACCUGGUGUUACAAGAGAGAAUUUCCCUGACAAGUCACCUUGAUGUGCUAAGGCGCAGACAAUGCACUGGGGUGAAGGACUUCUGUCCACGGUGGCCUGGAUUCUCUGUGUGGAGAAAAACUGUGUUGAGGUGUUUAUUGGUAAAGAAUACAUUCACGGGGCUGGAGAGGUGGCUCAGUGAGUCAAGAUCUUGUCACCCAAACGUGAGGACCUUCAUUUUGAAUCCACAGAACCCAUGGAAAGCCAGGCAUGUUAGUGAGCAUCUAUAAUUGCAGCACUCCUAUGAUGAGAUGGGAGGUGGAGACAUGAGAAUCCUCAGAAGCGUGGGGCCAGCUAGCCUGGUGUAUGCAGCCACAAACACCAGAAGCUCAAGCUGGGUGGAAGGUGAGGACCAACACCCAAGGUUGUCCUGUGGCCUCUGUGUGACCCAGUAGCCUGCAAGUGCCCCCACCACAAGCAAAAACACCUCCCCUACUCCUCCCCCCCUCUCUCCGCGCCUCUCUCCCUGGCACGCUAGAGGUUUCUCAAUUGUCUAGAAACAUCCUGGCCAUGAAAGUGGGAGAUAGCAUGGCAAGCAGCUAGCAGUGAAAACCCCAAAGGGUUAAACUGUAAAGACAGUGAGAUGGCCUAGAAGUGCUUAAAACUCAAUUAAAAUAAAACCAGUCCCUGUUAGUUCUCCCCAGCCAGAUUUAAGGUUCCUUCUGUAUUAUCUAUUCAUAUGAAAGCGGGUGCAGCAAUUGAAUAUUGAAUUAUGCUAACCCACUUUCUCAGCUAUAGAAGACACUGGCUUCCAGCCCAAUGAAUACAAUAGCCACAUGCUUGAGACCUUUAAUUAUCUAAUUAAUGUAGUGUCAUUUUUGCAAUUAAUUCAAAUGGCCACAUAUAACUUUUUUCUUUUUAAGAUUGGAGUUGUAAAUAUUUUUAAAACACUUGUUAUAUGUUGCAUGAAAAACAAAACAAAAAAAAGGACCAAUAAAGCUCUUAAUUAAGAAACGUUUUUUAAAAUCCUCAAACCUAUUCUAACACGGUCAAAGGCUGUUUCUCAUGACCUGUUCAUAGAUACCCUUUAGAAACUUAUUAAAUUGAACUUAAGAAAACGAAUUACCAUCUGCAUGGGCAGGUACGAGAGAAAGGAAUUACAAGGAGUGUUUGAAGGAGGAGGGGCAAGGAGAUGUAGUAAUACACAUUAGGAAUCCACUCUAAUGAGGGCUAUCAUAAACGGCAAUAAAAGUGGAUAAUAAUUCUAAAAGUUCUCACACAAGACCAGUCACUUUCUUCCCCUCCCCCACCACUUCACUCUUCAUGCAGCUGGAUUUGAACGUGAAAUCCUUCACUCUUGCUGCCUCUUUCUGCAAAGCUGAGCGUUACCAGCACUUGAGCAUUCGGCUGAAAAAGGCAAUGUGGUAGAAAAGCAUGCUCAGGCUAAAGAAAUCAGUUCUGUGCCAUUUGCUCAGUCCUUCCAUGUGUUCACAAUGGGAGUAGCGGUGGUGGGUGGGGCGUG